rnacentral:rRNA from 1 species
CACGUAGGCACCAAGCGUUGUCCGGAUUUAUUGGGCGUAAAGAGCGUGUAGGCGGCCAGGUAGGUCCGUUGUGAAAACUCGAGGCUCAACCUCGAGACGUCGGCGGAAACCCUCUGGCUAGAGUCCGGAAGAGGAGAGUGGAAUUCCUGGUGUAGCGGUGAAAUGCGCAGAUAUCAGGAGGAACACCGGUGGCGAAGGCGGGUCUCUGGGCCGAUACUGACGCUGAGGAGCGAAAGCGUGGGGAGCGAACAGG